AUACGUAGGUCCCGAACGUUGCGCGAAAUUACUGGGCGUAAAGGGUCCGUAGGCGGUCUGGUAAGUGGAAGGUGAAAGCCUGGGGCUCAACUCCAGAAUUGCCUUCCAAACUGCCGGACUUGAGGCAGGGAGAGGUCGGCGGAAUUCCCGGUGUAGCGGUGCAAUGCGUAGAUAUCGGGAGGAACACCAGUGGCGAAGGCGGCCGACUGGAACUGUCCUGACGCUGAGGGACGAAAGCCAGGGGAGCGAACCGGAUUAGAAACCCGAGUAGUCC
rnacentral:rRNA from 1 species